rnacentral:rRNA from 1 species
UACGGGGGGUGCAAACGUUGCUCGGAAUCAUUGGGCGUAAAGCGCACGUAGGCGGUCCAGAAGGUCGGGUGUGAAAGCCCUCGGCUCAACCGAGGAAGUGCAUUCGAAACCACUGAACUUGAGUAUGGAAGAGGGUCGCGGAAUUCCCGGUGUAGAGGUGAAAUUCGUAGAUAUCGGGAGGAACACCCGUGGCGAAAGCGGCUCUCUGGGACGGUACUGACGCUGAGACGCGAAAGCGUGGGGGAGCAAACAGGG